rnacentral:RNase_P_RNA from 1 species
GCCGCUCCCCGGACGGUCGCAGGCUCCGCGCAAGCGGGGCUUGAGGAAAGUCCGGACACCACAGGGCAACGCGCCUCAUGAAAGUGAGGGACGGGAACCGCGAGGGACCCGGACGGAAAGUGCAACAGGAAGCAUACCGCCGAUGGCCCGCAAGGGCACAGGUAAGGAUGAAAUGGUGGGGUAAGAGCCCACCGCGCCGAGGGUAACCGGAGCGGCACGGCAAACCCCGCGUGGUGCAAGACAGAACAGGGGAAGGGCUGCCCGCCCGUUUAAUCUCCGGGUAUUAGUCGCACUCCGCGCAAGCGGGGCGCUCCGCCUCGGCGGGGUGAGAGAAAUGGCCGUCCAGUUCCGCGCAAGCGGGAUGGACAGAAUCCGGCUUACAGGGGAGCGGCACCC